GACGAACGCUGGCGGCGUGCUUAACACAUGCAAGUCGAACGGAAAGACCCUGCUUGCAGGGUAUUCGAGUGGCGAACGGGUGAGUAACACGUGGGUGAUCUGCCCUGCACUUCGGGAUAAGCCUGGGAAACUGGGUCUAAUACCGGAUAGGAGCCAUUUUUAGUGUGAUGGUUGGAAAGUUUUUUCGGUGUAGGAUGAGCUCGCGGCCUAUCAGCUUGUUGGUGGGGUAAUGGCCUACCAAGGCGGCGACGGGUAGCCGGCCUGAGAGGGUGGACGGCCACAUUGGGACUGAGAUACGGCCCAGACUCCUACGGGAGGCAGCAGUGGGGAAUAUUGCACAAUGGGCGCAAGCCUGAUGCAGCGACGCCGCGUGGGGGAUGACGGCCUUCGGGUUGUAAACUCCUUUCGCUAGGGACGAAGCUUUUUGUGACGGUACCUAGAUAAGAAGCACCGGCUAACUACGUG
rnacentral:rRNA from 1 species